UGGUGGUGAGAAAUGAGCACAUAUCAUUACCGGAGAAGUUGCUAUGCAAAAGAACUAUCUUGCACUAAGGGAAGGCCGAAGUAGAGGUCUUGGUGCAGUGGACUGGAGCAACGGCGGAAGAAGCCGUGUGGAAAGUUUUGUCGAGCCUUGUAAGGUUGUUUCCGUCAUCUAACCUUGAGGGCAAGGUCCUUCCGAUGGAUGAUGGUGUUGUUAUGGUGGAACUUGACCAAAAUAGUUGCAUGCAAGACAUGGAGAGAGAGGUGUUGAGAAGGGAAGAACAUAAUAAAAUAUUAGAAGAAGAUCUUACCGAGAUGGAGCCGAGGAGUGAAGAUGAAGUUGUUGCUGUGGAGGAGGCGUCGCUGGUUCUUACGGAAGCUAGGUUUCGAAGUGAAGAGUCUUCAAGGAAAG
rnacentral:lncRNA from 1 species